rnacentral:rRNA from 1 species
CGUGUAGGCGGUUGGUCAAGUCUGGUGUGAAAGCCCGGGGCUUAACCCCGGAAGGGCACUGGAAACUAGCCAGCUAGAGCGCGAGAGAGGAGGGUGGAAUUCCUGGUGUAGCGGUGAAAUGCGUAGAUAUCAGGAGGAACACCGGCGGCGAAGGCGGCCCUCUGGCUCGUUGCUGACGCUGAAACGCGAAAGCGUGGGGAGAAAC